UUUAUUUAUAUAUUCGGUUUACGGACCGCCCUCCCCCUAAGGGCUCAGGGCGGUGAACAACAUAGAUAGAGCACAAUAUAUCAAAUCAAAUUAAAAUUCGUUAAGUUAAGUAAUACAGGAGGAAAUAAAGAUAAAAGAUAGACCUUCCCCAU